UACGAAGGGGGCUAGCGUUGCUCGGAAUCACUGGGCGUAAAGCGCACGUAGGCGGCUUCUUAAGUCAGGGGUGAAAUCCUGGAGCUCAACUCCAGAACUGCCUUUGAUACUGAGUAGCUUGAGUCCGGGAGAGGUGAGUGGAACUGCGAGUGUAGAGGUGAAAUUCGUAGAUAUUCGCAAGAACACCAGUGGCGAAGGCGGCUCACUGGCCCGGUACUGACGCUGAGACGCGAAAGCGUGGGGAGCAAACAGG
rnacentral:rRNA from 1 species